GACGAACGCUGGCGGCGUGCUUAACACAUGCAAGUCGAACGGAAAGGCCCUGCUUUUGUGGGGUGCUCGAGUGGCGAACGGGUGAGUAACACGUGAGUAACCUGCCCUUGACUUUGGGAUAACUUCAGGAAACUGGGGCUAAUACCGGAUAGGAGCUCCUGCUGCAUGGUGGGGGUUGGAAAGUUUCGGCGGUUGGGGAUGGACUCGCGGCUUAUCAGCUUGUUGGUGGGGUAGUGGCUUACCAAGGCUUUGACGGGUAGCCGGCCUGAGAGGGUGACCGGCCACAUUGGGACUGAGAUACGGCCCAGACUCCUACGGGAGGCAGCAGUGGGGAAUAUUGCACAAUGGGCGGAAGCCUGAUGCAGCAACGCCGCGUGCGGGAUGACGGCCUUCGGGUUGUAAACCGCUUUCGCCUGUGACGAAGCGUGAGUGACGGUAAUGGGUAAAGAAGCACCGGCUAACUACGUGCCAGCAGCCGCGGUGAUACGUAGGGUGCGAGCGUUGUCCGGAUUUAUUGGGCGUAAAGGGCUCGUAGGUGGUUGAUCGCGUCGGAAGUGUAAUCUUGGGGCUUAACCCUGAGCGUGCUUUCGAUACGGGUUGACUUGAGGAAGGUAGGGGAGAAUGGAAUUCCUGGUGGAGCGGUGGAAUGCGCAGAUAUCAGGGGGAACACCAGUGGCGAAGGCGGUUCUCUGGGCCUUUCCUGACGCUGAGGAGCGAAAGCGUGGGGAGCGAACAGGCUUAGAUACCCUGGUAGUCCACGCUGUAAACGGUGGGUACUAGGUGUGGGGUCCAUUCCACGGGUUCCGUGCCGUAGCUAACGCUUUAAGUACCCCGCCUGGGGAGUACGGCCGCAAGGCUAAAACUCAAAGGAAUUGACGGGGCCCCGCACAAGCGGCGGAGCAUGCGGAUUAAUUCGAUGCAACGCGUAGAACCUUACCUGGGUUUGACAUGGAUCGGGAGUGCUCAGAGAUGGGUGUGCCUCUUUUGGGGUCGGUUCACAGGUGGUGCAUGGCUGUCGUCAGCUCGUGUCGUGAGAUGUUGGGUUAAGUCCCGCAACGAGCGCAACCCUUGUUCACUGUUGCCAGCACGUUAUGGUGGGGACUCAGUGGAGACCGCCGGGGUCAACUCGGAGGAAGGUGGGGAUGACGUCAAGUCAUCAUGCCCCUUAUGUCCAGGGCUUCACGCAUGCUACAAUGGCUGGUACAGAGAGUGGCGAGCCUGUGAGGGUGAGCGAAUCUCGGAAAGCCGGUCUCAGUUCGGAUUGGGGUCUGCAACUCGACCUCAUGAAGUCGGAGUCGCUAGUAAUCGCAGGUCAGCAACGCUGCGGUGAAUACGUUCCCGGG
rnacentral:rRNA from 1 species